GACGAACGCUGGCGGCGUGCUUAACACAUGCAAGUCGAGCGGACAGACCACUUCCUUGGUCCUCGAGCGGCGACCGCGUGCGUAACAGGUGCGAAAUCUGCACCUCCCUUUGGGAUAGCCACCGCAUCCGGUGAUUAAUGCUGGAUCUGACCAUUUUUCUCAUGCCGUUUGUUGGAUAGUUUUUCGGGGUGUGAUGUGCUCGCGGCCUAUCAUCUUGAUGGUGUGGUAAUGGUUGUCCAUGGCUUCGUUGGCUAGCCGGCCUGAGAAGGUGACCGGUCACAAGGGGACUGAGAGAGGGCGCAGACGCCUAUGGGAGGCAGCAGGGGGGAGUAUUAGAGAAUGGGCGGAAGUGUGAGACAGCAACGCCGCGUGAGGGAUGACGGCCUUCGGGGUGUAAACCAAUUUCAGUACCGACGAAGAGGAAGUGACGGUAGGUAAAGAAGAAGCAACGGCCAACUACGUG
rnacentral:rRNA from 1 species